CAGUCGCCACGGUAAUACGAAGGGUGCAAGCGUUAAUCGGAAUUACUGGGCGUAAAGCGUGCGUAGGCGGUGAGUUAAGUCUGCUGUGAAAUCCCCGGGCUCAACCUGGGAAUGGCAGUGGAUACUGGCUUGCUAGAGUGUGUCAGAGGAUGGUGGAAUUCCCGGUGUAGCGGUGAAAUGCGUAGAGAUCGGGAGGAACAUCAGUGGCGAAGGCGGCCAUCUGGGACAACACUGACGCUGAGGCACGAAAGCGUGGGGAGCAAACAGGAUUGGAGACCCGCGUAGUCCCUGUCUCUUAUAC
rnacentral:rRNA from 1 species